CACAGAUGUUAAUGACGUGUUCAAUCUGCAUCUUGGCUGUAAUCUUUCGUUGACGACAAUUAGUUUGCGUAUCAUGUCGCAUGGUGAACCAGCUGUACAGUGGUAGCAGGACAUAUCUCAAAUCCAAUUGUUAUUGCCCAGACAGCUACUGAUCUAAACUCAGUUCUUCACAGUCAAUGCAAGCAUUAACAUUACAAGUGCGUUCUGCUAUUGGAUGUAGAACGUAACAACACCACAAUAUCUUCUCCUAUUGGAUGGUGAACGUAGCAACACUAAAAUACGUUCUGCUAUUGGAUGGUGAACGUAGCAACACCACAAUACGUUCUGCUAUUAGAUGUUGAAUGUAGCAACACCACAAUACGUUCUGCUAUUGGAUGGUGAACGUAGCAACACCACAAUACGUUCUGCUAUUGGAUGGUGAACGUAGCAACACCACAAUACGUUCUGCUAUUGAAUGUUGAACGUAGCAACACCACAAUACGUUCUGCUAUUGAAUGUUGAACGUAGCAACACCACAAUACGUUCUGCUAUUGGAUGGUGAACGUAGCAACACCACAAUACGUUCUGCUAUUAGAUGUUGAAUGUAGCAACACCACAAUACGUUCUGCUAUUGGAUGGUGAACGUAGCAACACCACAAUACGUUCUGCUAUUGGAUGGUGAACGUAGCAACACCACAAUACAUUCUGCUAUUGGAUGGUGAACGUAGCAACACCACAAUACGUUCUGCUAUUGGAUGGUGAACGUAGCAACACCACAAUACGUUCUGCUAUUAGAUGUUGAAUGUAGCAACACCACAAUACGUUCUGCUAUUGGAUGGUGAACGUAGCAACACCACAAUACGUUCUGCUAUUAGAUGUUGAAUGUAGCAACACCACAAUACGUUCUGCUAUUGGAUGGUGAACGUAGCAACACCACAAUACGUUCUGCUAUUAGAUGUUGAAUGUAGCAACACCACAAUACGGUCUGCUAUUAGAUGUUGAAUGUAGCAACACCACAAUACGUUCUGCUAUUAGAUGUUGAAUGUAGCAACACCACAAUACGUUCUGCUAUUGGAUGGUGAACGUAGCAACACCACAAUACGUUCUGCUAUUAGAUGUUGAAUGUAGCAACACCACAAUACCUUCUGCUAUUAGAUGUUGAAUGUAGCAACACCACAAUACCUUCUGCUAUUAGAUGUUGAAUGUAGCAACACCACAAUACGUUCUGCUAUUGGAUGGUGAACGUAGCAACACCACAAUACGUUCCGCUAUUAGAUGUUGAAUGUAGCAACACCACAAUACGUUCUGCUAUUGAAUGUUGAACGUAGCAACACCACAAUACGUUCUGCUAUUGAAUGUUGAAUGUAGCAACACCACAAUACGUUCUGCUAUUGAAUGUUGAACGUAGCAACACCACAAUACGUUCUGCUAUAAGAUGUUGAACGUAGCAACACCACAAUACGUUCUGCUAUUGGAUGGUGAACGUAGCAACACCACAAUACGUUCUGCUAUUAGAUGUUGAAUGUAGCAACACCACAAUACGUUCUGCUAUUAGAUGUUGAA